rnacentral:rRNA from 1 species
UACGUAGGUCCCGGGCGUUGUCCGGAUUUAUUGGGCGUAAAGCGAGCGCAGGUGGUUUAUUAAGUCUGGUGUAAAAGGCAGUGGCUCAACCAUUGUAUGCAUUGGAAACUGGUAGACUUGAGUGCAGGAGAGGAGAGUGGAAUUCCAUGUGUAGCGGUGAGAUGCGUAGAUAUAUGGAGGAACACCGGUGGCGAAAGCGGCUCUCUGGCCUGUAACUGACACUGAGGCUCGAAAGCGUGGGGAGCAAACAGG